GACGAACGCUGGCGGCGUGCUUAACACAUGCGAGUCGAACGGAAAGGCCCCUUUGGGGGUCCUCGAGUGGCGAACGGGUGAGUAACACGUGAGUAACCUGCCCUUGACUUCGGGAUAACUUCAGGAAACUGGGGCUAAUACCGGAUAGGAAUCCUUGCUGCAUGGUGGGGGUUGGAAAGCUUCGGCGGUUUUGGAUGGACUCGCGGCUUAUCAGCUUGUUGGUGGGGUAGUGGCUUACCAAGGCUUUGACGGGUAGCCGGCCUGAGAGGGCGACCGGCCACAUUGGGACUGAGAUACGGCCCAGACUCCUACGGGAGGCAGCAGUGGGGAAUAUUGCACAAUGGGCGGAAGCCUGAUGCAGCAACGCCGCGUGCGGGAUGACGGCCUUCGGGUUGUAAACCGCGUUCAGCAGGGGCGAAGCUUGUGGUGACGGUACCUGCAGAAGAAGCACCGGCUAACUACGUG
rnacentral:rRNA from 1 species